UCUCCGGCCGCCCCGGAUCCGCUAUAAAAAACCUCACUCAGUCGGCACCACUGGCCAGGCGCGCACUCCCAUCCCUUCUCCCCACUGCCAUCAGCCAACGCUUCCGGCCGCCCUCCCGCGCCGCUCGCCGGAUCCGCCGUUUCUCAGGAAAUGGCUGCACUGCAACCAUCGUUCUCGUCGCUAAUGGCUAUGAACAAUAGCUGCAACACCAUGAAGUUCCCCAAGACUGCACUUUUGCCUGGUUUCGGUGGCAUUUCGCGCCCUCAAGAUGUGCAGGACAGGAAUGCUAGCCUCACCUGUUCAAGGCCUAAGGCAGUUUCAGUGACUGAUCAGUCAGUAGCAGAGCCAGCAAAACCCAGGCAAUCGAAACAUACAGUUGAUCCUGCUGCUCCAGAAUUUCUGCCGCUCCCAGCAUUUGAAGAUUGCUUCCCACGGAGCACCAAAGAAUGCAGUGAAGUCGUUCAUGAGGAAUCAGGUCAUGCCCUGAAGGUUCCAUUUCGGAGAGUCCAUUUGACCGGAGAUAGCGGGCAUUUCGACACAUAUGACACCAGUGGUCCACAGAACAUAAGCCCAAGGCUUGGACUCCCAAAGAUAAGAAAGGAAUGGAUUGACAGGAGGGAGAAAUUGGGUAGUCCUCGGUACACCCAAAUGUACUAUGCUAAGCAGGGAAUCAUAACAGAGGAGAUGCUGUACUGUGCCAAACGUGAGAACCUUGCUCCUGAAUUUGUCCGAUCUGAAGUCGCCCGUGGACGAGCCAUUAUCCCUUCCAACAAGAGGCACCUGGAAUUGGAGCCCAUGAUUGUUGGAAGAAACUUCCUUGUGAAGGUGAAUGCAAACAUCGGGAACUCAGCUGUUGUGAGCUCCAUCGAGGAGGAAGUCCACAAGCUCCAGUGGGCCACAAUGUGGGGAGCAGAUACUGUCAUGGACCUUUCAACAGGGCGCCAUAUCCAUGAGACCCGGGAAUGGAUUAUUCGUAACUCCUCCGUUCCUAUUGGAACUGUUCCGAUUUACCAAGCACUUGAGAAAGUGAAUGGUAUCGCUGAAGACCUUAGCUGGGAAGUCUUCAGGGGCACUUUAAUUGAACAAGCCGAGCAGGGUGUUGACUACUUCACCAUCCAUGCUGGUGUGCUGCUUCGUUACAUUCCUCUCACAGCAAAGAGGAUGACUGGCAUAGUUUCACGCGGUGGAUCAAUCCAUGCAAAAUGGUGCUUGACGUGUCACAAGGAGAACUUUGCUUAUGAGCACUGGGAUGACAUUCUUGACAUAUGUAACCAGUAUGAUGUGGCAUUGUCAAUUGGUGAUGGCCUGAGGCCUGGUUCCAUUUAUGAUGCUAAUGACAGCGCUCAGUUUGCAGAACUGCUGACUCAAGGGGAACUAACUCGCCGAGCAUGGGAGAAAGAUGUGCAGGUGAUGAAUGAAGGUCCUGGGCAUAUUCCGAUGCAUAAAAUUCCUGAAAAUAUGGAGAAACAGCUAGAGUGGUGCAAUGAAGCACCUUUCUAUACGUUGGGUCCAUUGACAACUGAUAUUGCACCUGGUUAUGAUCACAUCACCUCAGCCAUUGGUGCCGCCAACAUUGGGGCUCUUGGCACCGCACUUCUCUGUUAUGUAACACCAAAGGAGCACCUUGGGUUGCCUAACAGGGAUGAUGUUAAGACAGGUGUGAUAUCCUACAAAAUCGCUGCUCAUGCUGCUGAUUUGGCAAAGCGUCACCCCUAUGCACAAGCAUGGGAUGAUGCACUAAGCAAGGCAAGGUUUGAGUUUAGAUGGUUGGACCAAUUUGCUUUAUCCCUGGAUCCAGUUACUGCAAUGUCUUUCCAUGAUGAAACACUGCCAUCUGACGGUGCCAAAGUAGCACAUUUCUGCUCAAUGUGUGGUCCCAAGUUUUGCUCGAUGAAAAUCACCGAGGAUAUUAGAAAGUAUGCUGAUGAACAUGGUUAUGGGACAGUAGAGGAAGCUGUGAGGCAAGGAAUGAGUGAGAUGAGUGCUGAAUUCUUGGCUGCAAGAAAAACAAUUAGUGGCGAACAACAUGGUGAAGCUGGAGGGGAAAUCUAUGUGCCAGAAAGCUACGUAGUUCAAAAAUAAGAUGUCCUUGGCAGCCGUCUGAUCGAGGUGAUGCAGAUUUGAUGGCCAGGCCGUUUGUCAGCAGCACUUCUACCAUCUUUUGUUAGGAGGUGGGGUGCUUGUAUUCCCAACAAUCUUAAGGCCCCUUGGCCUGGAUUGUUGCGAUAUGGGCUGAGAAAGUCCCUUUGAACCUGAACAGGAUAAUGCCUGCGAAGGGAGUGUGCAUUUCUAUUUUCAUGUUUCCCAGGAUACACUCAACCCUCAACAUUCUGGAAAUCGAGGGACCAGUUUUCCUGAAUGUGUGGAGCGCACCCACUGGAUAUGCAUGUUUCCUACUCUGACGCAACAUGGUAAUGUACACGAUUUCUUUAACCAGCAUACAUAUUGGCAUUUCUCCAAGAGGAGAGGAUAUUUAUAGGCAUAGUGUUAUCAUGGAACACCUCAAAUUUAGUCAUCAUGGAACACAUAAAAUUUACCCAUCACAUUUUUUUUUGAGAAAUCCCAUUACAUCUUGCAAAGCAUUGACAAUGUCCUGUGUAAUUUAAUUUUUACACCUAAUCAUGUACAUAUUCCUAUAGCAAAGUAUAAAAGAUGUAACUAGACUGAGAUUGGAAUGGUUAUGUACAUGCCACUUGUCAGUUGAGAACAAAAUCAACAACAGAACUCUUUUUGACUUGAUUAUGUAAAAUGUGUCUACUAAGAAUUAUUUUGUAGAGUGGCUGAGAUACUGCUUAUCGUGAACUAUUUCUUUGGUUGUUCCCAUUAUGAUUGUCAAACAUUUUCAAAUACAUCGUAAACUUUUUCACAUGGACGGUUUCAACUUUAAUCAUCCAUGCAUGAUAACUGUGUAUCCACACUGUCAAACUUGGCAGCACUUCAGUGCUAGACUGUUGGUCCUGCAUAGUUUAUGACAACAAGUCUCCUCCCAAAAGUUAAGGCAUUUCAUACUUGUUUGAUCUAGUGCUUAGUUCACGACCGCAGUUAGGCAUACUGGAGAAAUAUGGCAAAUCGGCGCACACCUGUCAGCUGCGCAAGCAUGGUGAAUAACACGCAUAAGCUUGUGAUGUACUACCUCUGUCCCAUAAUAUAAGAACGUUUUUGACACUAGUGUAGUGCCAAAAACGUUCUUAUAUUAUGGGACGGAGGGAGUAUCUAUUAUCAACCAUAAAGCCCCAUAUGUUUAUCCUUGGAUGCCAUUGUAUUGGCUAAGGACAUGAUUUUAGUUUUACCUUCUGAUGUGUGAGACACAUGUUUCUUAGUCGAUCUAUUACUUGCCCCUCCACUUUUGGUUGUGAAUUACAUGACCCAAUCAAAAUACCAUGACUGACGCCAAUUGUCGAGAGAAUUGUGGGUAAAACAUGUCAGAAAGGUGGUGCUGGUGGCUGGUCUUCCUGAGUUGAUAGUGGAUUUCGGGUCUGCCCUCCGAUGUGAUUGUGUUGGUAGGGUGUUGGUCUUGAAUUUUUAGAGAGCUGAGCUAUGCACAUAUUUUUUUUCUGAUACCGCGGCUAUAGUUUUCACUGUUGUUUUUCACCUUUGAAGUUCCAUACAAAGGGAUUCUUCACAUGUUCAGGUGUUAACUUGUACUUGUUUAAUCUAUAUUGAUAUGUGCCCUUCCUAUUUA